rnacentral:lncRNA from 1 species
GGUGAGGAAACUGAAAGCCACCGAGGAAAAGGGGGGCGCUCCUUAAGAAGUGCCGCGGUCACGUGUACGUUUCAAAAGAAUGGCGUGACUGAGUAGGGAGGGGACCGCGGAGACCCUCAGACCCUGGACUGUAAGGAGAUGAGGGGCCGUGAAGGGGAACCCAGGAAACUGAGUCCUGAAAGCAAGGAGGAGCUUCCAGAAUGAAGGGCGCCGUCACGCCUCCCUGCCUUUGCUCAAGCGGUUCC